AGAGUGAGAGAAAGAACUCUGCAUUUUUUUCUUUGGCAGCAACAACCGAGAGAGAAAACAGAACAUCCGAAUAGCUUUCCCAUUUCUGCAUUCUUUAACCGACCAAAACUGAGAGCUAAAGUGAAGGAUAGGAAGAGAAACUUUGUUAGUUUCUUCACUGAUUAGCUUCAACCGAGAGGAAGAGUGAAAGCUGCUGCAAGUUUAAGAGAAACCGAAGCUAGGAGCAGGAGCAAUCCGCCGUUAUUAAAAUUUAACCGAGAAGGUAAGAAUCUUGUAACCACCUUUUAUUUCUUGAAUAUAACUGAAAAUAUGGGCUGCAUGUUAGUUUUUAGCAAGGAAUAAUAAGAUUUAACAGAGGGGAAUUCUGAUAAGAAGGAAGAAAAGAUGGGAGCUAGACUGAAGUUGUAGGAACGGAGUGUAAGUUGCAUGGGUUGCAGCCUGUGAUCAUUGUGAAAUGGAAACUAAUGACAGGAAAUGCAUGUAAUACGUUAGCCUUAUGUAUUAUGGGAAGUUUAGUUGAAGAAACUUGGGAAAAGAUGGAAUUUUGGGUUGAGACCGUAGGAAGAAACAUGCUGGAAUUUUUCCAGCUUCAUCCGAGAGGAAGAAACUGAAAUUUGCAGCUUAGUAACCGAAAGUAUGGAGUAACUUUCUGCUAGAAGCUCAAACCAUGUGUUAUGUCCUUGUCUUAUCUGAGUAACUAGUGCAGAGUUGUUAGCUUGAGUGAAAAAUUUGCAAGAAUUAACCGGUGGUUCUGUCUAGCUAGCCGGGAGAUGAAGUAAGGAAAUUUUCCAAUUUUCUUGACAGAUUUUUGGGUUCCAAAUUCCUACGUUGAAACUGAAUACCUUGCAUAAUUUUUUAGUUUUAGCAUGUAUGGUGGAGUUGAAUGGGAACUGAAGUAGUUAAUGGAGAAAUCUCUUGUUUAAAAACUGAUUGCUGUCCAAAACAAUCACAGCUUGACCGAGAGAGAGAAAUAGACUUCAGAUCAGUUUUUCCUUUGAAAUUCUGGCUGUAAAAUUUAAUAUGGAUGAUCAAGUUUACUCUGUAGUUGGAGAAUCAUCUUUUGCAUGAUGAGUUGGAGUUAAAACUGAAGAAAAUUAUGGAGAAAGCACCAUAUGUGAAAUUGCUAUACUGCUGGAAAUUGUAAUGUGUUGCUGGCCGAAUUAGUUGAGGCUUUUGGUGGGAUUCUUUUCCGGAAUUGUGUGUUAUUUGUUCUAGUUUGGGUGGGCAAAUUAUGAGCUACGUGUUUAGUGUUUCAAGCAAGUAAAAGAUGGAGAUUUGUUGAACAAUUUGAAUGAUAUUGCUGGAAAUUAUACUUGUUGGCCAAAACAGGGAAGAGAUGAACUUUGCUUGAAGUUUUUGAACAAAAUUCUAAGAUAGUUUGUUGUAACUGUACAUAUAUAUAUAUAUAUAUAUAUAUAUCCAUUUCUAGCAUCUUAACCUUGUUUUGAAUACUUUAAAGAAUUUAAAACUCGAAGGGCUAGUGAAGUGGAACAAAUAGGAAUAACAUGCAAACUAGAGUCUAGUUCAGUCUAAAAGGAAAGAAAUAAAAGUUCCAUCAGCUUUAAUUAUUAAGAUUAGAAUGAAAUGAUUUAAUUUUAGCUCAAAUGUUUUAUAAGAUCUUAAAAUUUAUAUAUGUACGUUAACCUUGUUUUAGAGCUACCAAACCUAAUGGAUUUUGAAGUAAUAUUGCUUAAUUGUGUUGAAUGGUUGAAAUGGUAAUGAGAUUAAGACUUAUAUAAUGUGUUAGAAACUCUAAGGUAAUUUGUUAUGGCUAUAUACACGAAAUGGCUCCUAAUCACUUAAAUUAGUUUUUAUAAUAUUUAAGAGACUAUAAAACUUGAGAAGUUAAGGUUGUGAAAUAAAAUUUAAUUCACAAACAACCUAGAGCUUAGUUAGUCUUAAAAGGGAAAAUGGAGUAUCUAUAAGCCAUAAUUAAUACUGGAUUGAGAAAGUAUAUUCGUUUAAACCUUAUACAAGUUUAUAAACUUGAAGAUAGGUAUUUCAUGGUUUAAAAUUAAUAAAGUCAAUAAGUUUUGAAAAUAAAAUGAUAAAUAAAUAUUGAGAAUGUUAUAGUUGUAUUUUAAGGUCAAACUUGAUUUUAAUAAGUUUAAAUAAAAGAAUAACAAAUGAUCGACUACAAAUUAUAUAUUUACUUUGAACUUAUUAACUUGUACUAGGAAGUAGCCGUGAACCAGGAAACCAACUCGAAACUCGAGAGUAGUCAUUUGAAUCCUUGGUGAGUGUUUUUCAAAUUAUGUGUUAACUGUUUAUGUGUAUGUAUUAUGAAUAUUGUUAAAUGAUUCAUUGUGAAGUGUUUUCAAUUGUCCCUCGCCUUCUAAAUCGGAAGUGUACUUUAUCGCACUCGACUUAGUUUGAACUUGAAGGUAUUAAGCUAAGAAACUCUUGUUCUCUCUCUUAUGUUGCAUUUUUAUUAGAUAGAUGACUUGAAUCUUGAAUUAUAUUGGAUGAUACUCUAGUUUUGGUGAAGAUUAACGAAUUUCAACAAGGAUUAGUGAUUCUGCCCAGUUUUUGGACCCAACUGGAACUGCAUAUUCGUUCAUGAUAAAGAACAAAUCAGUUCUUGCUCAAAACAUGAAAGUUUUAGGGAAUUGAGUUAGCUAGCUAGCUGUAAAAUUUCAGCUCAAUCGGAGCACUGUAGUGAAUGAAAUGACUAAAAAACUCCUGACUGCCCAAAUACCCAGAUUAGCUGACAGUCUUCUAUUUUCUUUGAGAUUGUGAUUUUUUACCUUGAAAUGCAAGAACUGGGUGUCAGUGUCUUCAUAAGAAAUGUAGGUCUCUGUCUUAGCUUUGAAACACCAUAAAAUUUACCUUAAUCCAAUAAGCAUAGCUUCAGUUGUGACUACUGAGAGAUGUCAUACCUACUAUGUGGCUAUUUGUCUUUAAAACUAGUUUCUAACUUCUAGCUUUGAUUUUGAUGGUUGCACUGCUCGAAUUGACUUGUAAUUGGAUAAUAUUGAGUCUAGUUGAAUAGAUAUUGUGUUGAGCUUGCUUAUAUGUUGAAUUGGGCUGAGUUGAGGAAAGUAAUGAACCCAUAAAUGGCUGGAAAAUAGCUAAAUACAAAGGGCAUGCUACCCAAAUUUUCACUCGAAAGUUAGACGUGUGUACUCGCUGUUUGAGCGAAGAUUUGAGGUUGAAUUGAACUUGGAUUGUCUAUGGUAUUUGAGUCUUCUUUCGUAAAGGUAUAUAAGCUAAAAUUUGGCCGAAACUCAUACCCUUGGAAAAAUGAAAGUGGUGACCACUCGGAAUAUAUUUUCCUCAUCUUUUAGACUCAAAUGCGAAUUCCAAAGGUUUAGUUGCUUCUUUAGCAACACCAAAAGAGCGAGCAUGAAUUUUCUAGUAUUUGAUACAUAACAUGAAUCCUAUCUAAACGAGUUUCAUUUACCUGAUCUAUUCAAAUCGAAACUCUUAAGUUUUGAACCCUGGUAAUUUCAAGCUUUUAAAUGAUAUUGUAUCGCAGAUUUGGACUCCAACCAAGGAGUUACACCUGAACGUGAUUUUGACAAGCACUAAAUCGUUGGUGAGUGCUUUCAAAUACCUGAUUGAACUGGACACUGGUUUUCAAUACUUGACCAAUAUGAUCGAAUAAUAUGUGAUUGGUAUGAUUGGGCAAGAGUGUACUUUAUCGCACUUGCCCUAAUGUGAUAUGUACUCGUUUAUUGUUGCAAUUGACUUGAAAUACUUGUGCGUGACUUGUAAGUACUGAGCGGCAGUAUGUACCACACUCGAUCCGAGUGGGAGGUACCUCUCAUUCGCGUCUCCGUACUUUUAUUUUGAUUCAGUCGAUUGGAGAUGUAUCUCAUCGACUUCUUGGGGACCCAAACCCCACUAGCUAGUUAAUCGAGUCGAGCCGGCAAGAGCUUGGUCGAUUAGAUAACGAAUCAUGGGUAUCUAGUGUUGUCGAGUGGAGUGUUAUCUCCUCGACUAAUCGGUAUACUCGAGUACUACCACCAGUGUUUAUCUUGGAGUUCAGGCCCGGUAAGGGGUUUGGAUGCUGGACGGAGAGUAGUUUAAGUGGUGCUCUACUGGAUUGGUUACUUACCUGAAAGUUGACGGAGCGUCAACUAUUACUUGAUCAAAUUCUGGUGAUGCAGUGGGAAUUUGGCUCCUGAGAGCCAUCCAUAUCCUUAUACUUUGAAAUGAUUAGUACUUAUCGUGUUAUUGUUUCGUUUUAAAAGAAAAACUUUACACACGCUCAUUUUGAGAUUUGCUACUUGAAGUGUUAUUGCUCACUUUUAUGAACUUUUCAUGUUCAUUACUUUGCUACGUGAUACUUGCACUUUUAAAUAAUGGUCAACUUGCUAUUUGAAACCUCACUGGGCUUUUAACUCAUUCCACGCCAUUUGUUUUCCUUACAGGGGGUACGAGCGAGGCGUGAGACUAGUACAGAGUAGUCUAAUUUUGA
rnacentral:lncRNA from 1 species